rnacentral:rRNA from 1 species
UACGGAGGUGGCAAGCGUUGUUCGGAAUUACUGGGCGUAAAGGGCGCGUAGGCGGCCCUGUAAGUCCCGUGUGAAAUCCCUCGGCUCAACUGAGGAACUGCACGGGAUACUGCUAGGCUUGAGUUAGGGAGAGGGAAGCGGAAUUCCGGGUGUAGCGGUGAAAUGCGUAGAUAUCCGGAGGAACACCGGUGGCGAAGGCGGCUUCCUGGACCGAUACUGACGCUGAGGCGCGAAAGCUAGGGGAGCAAACGGG